ensembl:lncRNA
CUGAAAUUAAAUAUUUUAAUGUUCUCUGAACGUGACUAAGUAGAACCAUGAGGAAACCUGUAGGAAACGUUAUGCUGAAGUACUGAAAUUAAAUAUUUUAAUGUUCUCUGAACGUGACUAAGUAGAACCAUGAGGAAACCUGUAGAAAACGUUAUGCUGAAGUACUGAAAUUAAAUAUUUUAAUGUUCUCUGAACGUGACUAAGUAGAACCAUGAGGAAACCUGUAGGAAACGUUAUGCUGAAGUACUGAAAUUAAAUAUUUUAAUGUUCUCUGAACGUGACUAAGUAGAACCAUGAGGAAACCUGUAAAAACCUGUAGAAAAUAUUAUGCUUUGAAGAACUGACAAUCCCAAAAGAAGAACGUUGUUUCUUAACGUUCUCUGAACAAAUUUGAGAACAUUAAUUUAUAUCGAACCGUGAGGAAACGUCAUUGGAAAGUUGUAUGCAAUAUAACCCCAGGAACAAACACACUCUCACCAAGUAGUGCACUGUGUAGGGAACAGGGUUUUAUUGGUGACAUAGAUGUGAUGUCAUAGUGCACUGUGUAGGGAACAGGGUUCUAUUGGUGACAUAGAUGUGAUGUCAUAGUGCACUGUGUAGGGAACAGGGUUCUAUUGGUGACAUAGAUGUGAUGUCAUAGUGCUCUGUGUAGGGAACAGGGUUCUAUUGGUGACAUAGAUGUGAUGUCAUAGUGCAGGGAAGGUGUAGAGAACAGGGUUUUAUUGGUGACAUAGAUAUGAUGUCAUAGUGUUCUGUGUAGGGAACAGGGUUCUAUUGGUGACAUAGAUGUGAUGUCAUAGUGCAGGGAAGGUGUAGGGAACAGGGUUCUAUUGGUG